rfam:Picea glauca, whole genome shotgun sequence.
ACAUGCCUACAUCAUAGCGUUAAUGAACUGGAUCCCAUUAGAACUCCACAGUUAAGCACACUCAUGCUAGAGUAGUACUGGGAUGGGUGACUUCUCGGGAAGUCCUAGUGUUUUACAUGCC